AGCUGAUAUUUAGGGUGAUUUGAUGGCUUUUUAGGGCUGGUUUUGGGUCAGAUUUUGAUGUUUUUGGGGCUGGUUUUUGAUGCUGUUUUGGGGUCGAUUUGAUUGCUUUUUAGGCUGGUUUUGGGUCGAAUUUGAUGCCUGUUUGGGUCUUUUUGGGGCCAUUUUGAUUGCCUGUUUCUUGGGCUGGUUUUGAUGCUGUUUUGUGGGGGGUCUUUUUUGGGGUCGCAUUGUUGAGCUUUUGUAGGGUCUGGGUUUUGGGUCAUUUUUAGGCUGUUUGGGGGUUCAUUGUAGGGCUAGUUGUUGGGGUCACUUUAAUGCAUGUUUGGGGGUUGAUUUUGGGGUCGUUUUGAUGCAUUUUGGGCUGGUUUUGGGGCCAUUUUGAGGCCGAUUUUGGGGUCAGUUUGAUGCUUUUUAGGUCUGGUUUUGGGGUGUUUUUGGGUGGAUUUGGGGUCGUUUUGAUGCUGGUUUUGGGGUCAAUUUGAUGCUUUUUGGGGCUGGUUUUGGGGUCAAUUUGAUGCUUUUUGGGGUCUUUUUGGGGUCAUUUUGAUGCUUUUUAGGGCUGGUUUUGGGGUCAUUUUAGGCUGUUUUGGGGGCUGGUUUUGGGGUCACUUUAAUGCUGAUUUGGGGGUUGAUUUUGGGGUCAUUUUGAUGCAUUUUGGGCUGGUUUUGGGGUCUUUGGGGAACUGAUUUUGGGGUCCUUUUGAUGCUGGUUUUGGGUUGGUUUGGGGGUCUUUUGGGGGCUGAUUUUGGGGUCAAUUUGAUGCUUUUUGGGGCUGGUUUUGGGGUCGUUUUGAUGCUUUUUAGGGCUGGUUUUGAGGUCUUUGGGGAGCUGAUUUUGGGGUCCUUUUGAUGCUGUUUUGGGGUCUUUUGGGGGCUGUUCUUGGGGCUGAUUUUG
rnacentral:lncRNA from 1 species